AGAUUAGGUUAGGUUAGGUUAGGUUAGGUUAGGUUGGGUUUGGUUUGGUUGAGUUUCGUUUGGUAAAGUUAGAUUACAAUUAUGCUAGAUUAGAUAAGGUUAGGUUGAGUUAGGUUAGGUUAAGGUAAAUUAGAAAAAGAAAGAGAAGGGUACUUUAUAAGACAGAGACAAAAAUACAUAUAUGAAGGAAGGAAAAAAAGGUGCUUAAUAAAGAUGGAGAGAGACAGAAAUAAAAAAAAAAAGGAGUGUCAGAAAAGCGGGAUAAAAGGUGUCACAUUUGAAAAAAAAAAUAUAUAAGGAAAAGGAAAGGAAAAGAGAAGGUACUUUAUAAAGGAACAGAUAGAGAGGUGCUAUAUAAAGGUGAAGGAGGAGGAGGAGGACAAAGGGUAAUAUAUAACACUAACCUUUUCAACAAACAAACAAGCAAACAAACUAACAAACAAAUGGGUCAAACUAUUACUAUUAUCAUUACUAUUUACACCUUUCAAUGACUAACAUCCCAAAAUUAUCAAACUACCACUACCACUACUACUACCACUACCACUACUACCACUAUUACUACUACUAUUACAACAAACACAAUGCAAGGUCAAAAUGUCAACCAACAAGUAUAUAUAUAUAUAUAUCUUAGUAUGUAUGUAUAUAUAUGUAUGUAUAUAUACUAUAUAUAAAACCAUGGCACUAAUACACUCCUAGGUGACAAAUUAGUGAAGGGGAGGUGCGGAUGCACACACACACACACACACACACACACACACACACACACACACACACACACACACACACACACACACACACACACACACACACACACACACACACACACACACACACACAGCCAAAAGCAAAAAGAACAAACACAAAC